GACCAACGCUGGCGGCGUGCCUAAUACAUGCAAGUAGAACGCACAGUUUAUACCGUAGCUUGCUACACCAUAGACUGUGAGUUGCGAACGGGUGAGUAACGCGUAGGUAACCUGCCUGGUAGCGGGGGAUAACUAUUGGAAACGAUAGCUAAUACCGCAUAAUAUUGAUUAUUGCAUGAUAAUUGAUUGAAAGAUGCUAUUGCAUCACUACCAGAUGGACCUGCGUUGUAUUAGCUAGUAGGUGAGGUAACGGCUCACCUAGGCGACGAUACAUAGCCGACCUGAGAGGGUGAUCGGCCACACUGGGACUGAGACACGGCCCAGACUCCUACGGGAGGCAGCAGUAGGGAAUCUUCGGCAAUGGACGAAAGUCUGACCGAGCAACGCCGCGUGAGUGAAGAAGGUUUUCGGAUCGUAAAGCUCUGUUGUAAGAGAAGAACGGGUGUGAGAGUGGAAAGUUCACACUGUGACGGUAUCUUACCAGAAAGGGACGGCUAACUACGUG
rnacentral:rRNA from 1 species